ACCCCUAAGGCGAGGCCGAAAGGCGUAGUCGAUGGGAAACGGGUUAAUAUUCCCGUACUUGGUGUUACUGCGAAGGGGGGACGGAGAAGGCUAUGUUGGCCGGGCGACGGUUGUCCCGGUUUAAGCGUGUAGGUGUGUGUUCCAGGUAAAUCCGGUUCACUUUAACACUGAGGCGUGACGACGAGGCACUACGGUGCUGAAGCAACAAAUGCCCUGCUUCCAGGAAAAGCCUCUAAGCAUCAGGUAACAUCAAAUCGUACCCCAAACCGACACAGGUGGUCAGGUAGAGAAUACCAAGGCGCUUGAGAGAACUCGGGUGAAGGAACUAGGCAAAAUGGUGCCGUAACUUCGGGAGAAGGCACGCUGACACGUAGGUGAAGUGAUUUACUCAUGGAGCUGAAGUCAGUCGAAGAUACCAGCUGGCUGCAACUGUUUAUUAAAAACACAGCACUGUGCAAACACGAAAGUGGACGUAUACGGUGUGACGCCUGCCCGGUGCCGGAAGGUUAAUUGAUGGGGUCAGCGCAAGCGAAGCUCCUGAUCGAAGCCCCGGUAAACGGCGGCCGUAACUAUAACGGUCCUAAGGUAGCGAAAUUCCUUGUCGGGUAAGUUCCGACCUGCACGAAUGGCGUAAUGAUGGCCAGGCUGUCUCCACCCGAGACUCAGUGAAAUUGAACUCGCUGUGAAGAUGCAGUGUACCCGCGGCAAGACGGAAAGACCCCGUGAACCUUUACUAUAGCUUGACACUGAACAUUGAGCCUUGAUGUGUAGGAUAGGUGGGAGGCUUUGAAGUGUGGACGCCAGUCUGCAUGGAGCCGACCUUGAAAUACCACCCUUUAAUGUUUGAUGUUCUAACGUGGACCCGUGAUCCGGGUUGCGGACAGUGUCUGGUGGGUAGUUUGACUGGGGCGGUCUCCUCCUAAAGAGUAACGGAGGAGCACGAAGGUUGGCUAAUCCUGGUCGGACAUCAGGAGGUUAGUGCAAUGGCAUAAGCCAGCUUGACUGCGAGCGUGACGGCGCGAGCAGGUGCGAAAGCAGGUCAUAGUGAUCCGGUGGUUCUGAAUGGAAGGGCCAUCGCUCAACGGAUAAAAGGUACUCCGGGGAUAACAGGCUGAUACCGCCCAAGAGUUCAUAUCGACGGCGGUGUUUGGCACCUCGAUGUCGGCUCAUCACAUCCUGGGGCUGAAGUAGGUCCCAAGGGUAUGGCUGUUCGCCAUUUAAAGUGGUACGCGAGCUGGGUUUAGAACGUCGUGAGACAGUUCGGUCCCUAUCUGCCGUGGGCGCUGGAGAACUGAGGGGGGCUGCUCCUAGUACGAGAGGACCGGAGUGGACGCAUCACUGGUGUUCGGGUUGUCAUGCCAAUGGCACUGCCCGGUAGCUAAAUGCGGAAGAGAUAAGUGCUGAAAGCAUCUAAGCACGAAACUUGCCCCGAG
rnacentral:rRNA from 2 species